GGCAAGGUGGCCGAGCGGUCCAAGGCGCCAGGUUCAGGAUCCGCAAAAACCUGAAUUUCUCAAGUAUUCCUAGUCUCAUCCUAAGUCUACUUCUCUCUUCCUGGUCUCAGAAAUGGGGCGCGAGUUCGAAUCUCGCCCUUGUCA